UAUCGGAAGAUGUACCUCUGGAGGAAAAUGAAUGCGAUAUCAUUAACAACGAUGAAAGUGUACAUAAACAGGAAGUCGAAUUAUUAACUGCACAGAAGGAAUUCGCAACAUCUGACUGCAAUUGUUGUAUGGCAGAGAAGUACAAAAAACUUGAGAAACUAUAUUUAAAAAGUGAAAGAUCGAGGGUUUUAAUGAAAAAAAAUCACAACCGAUUGCAAGUCAUUAUGAAGAGGAAAAUUAUGAAACUGGAAAAAAUUGUACGUGUUGCUCAAAGGUGGAAACAAACCGUGGCAUAUUUUUAUUCCGGUAAUAGUACAAACGGAUCGAUUUAUAAGUCAAUAAUUUUAAAUAUUAUUGAGGAAGCUAACAAAAUAGGAUUGCGUGUUCAAGGUAUCGUAUCCAAUAUGGGUGCUCCAAACCAGGCAAUGUGGAAAUCGUUUAACAUUAAUGUUUCUCGAUAUUCGACGGUACAAAAUAAAUAAAAAUCAUUUAUUCAUGAAUCUAUACCAGCCAGUUUGAAAUUACCCGAGCUCAAUUAUGCAGAGUACACAUACGAAAGGAUCAAAAAUGAAUUUCAUAACUGCAAAUAGAUGGCAAGUAUGA